AGCAGCCGCGGUAAUUCCAGCUCCAAUAGCGUAUAUUAAAGUUGUUGCAGUUAAAAAGCUCGUAGUUGAAUUUCAGGCCUGGCUGGGCGGUCCGCCUUUUGGGUGAGUACUGCCUGUGGUCGGGUCCUACCUUCUGGCGAAGCGUCAUGGCCUUAACCGGCCGUGGCGGGGAACCAGGACUUUUACUGUGAAAAAUUAGAGUGUUCAAAGCAGGCAUUCGCUUGAAUACAUUAGCAUGGAAUAAUGGAAUAGGACAGUGGUUCUAUUUGUUGGUUUCUAGGACCGUUGUAAUGAUUAAUAGGGAUAGUUGGGGCAUUAGUAUUCAAUUGUCAGAGGUGAAAUUCUUGGAUUUAUUGAAGACUAACUACUGCGAAAGCAUUUGCCAAGGAU
rnacentral:rRNA from 1 species